AUACCUAAUGGGUAUAAGAUGCUCAGGUGGAUCUACUAAAAUCCAAAUUUGGUUGGAAUGCAUGGAGUCAAUUUUUGACUUCAUCGCUUCCAUCCAUUUUUUGGACUCUAUAUCAAAUAUCAUUUCAUCAUAAAUUUUGAGAUCAUUCCUAAUGUUCCUAUCUCCUAUAAGGAAUAUUUUCUCUAAAUCUUCUGUAAGAAUACCUAACUAUCUUUCAGGAGGA
rnacentral:lncRNA from 1 species